rnacentral:rRNA from 1 species
UACGGGGGGGGCAAGCGUUGUUCGGAUUUACUGGGCGUAAAGCGCACGUAGGCGGAUCGAUCAGUCAGGGGUGAAAUCCCAGAGCUCAACUCUGGAACUGCCUUUGAUACUGUCGAUCUGGAGUAUGGAAGAGGUAAGUGGAAUUCCGAGUGUAGAGGUGAAAUUCGUAGAUAUUCGGAGGAACACCAGUGGCGAAGGCGGCUUACUGGUCCAUUACUGACGCUGAGGUGCGAAGGCGUGGGGAGCAAACAGG